rnacentral:lncRNA from 1 species
UUAUCAAUAGACAAUAUAUCAUGUAUAAUUUUCUCAUGUAUUAUGUCCAGCUUCCAUAUUGUGUUAUAUCUAAUAAUAAAAUAUUUUCAUUUUUACAAUCAGUGUGAACACAUUUGUUUUAGAUCAUAUACCUGCAUCCCCUAUCCCAUCUCCUGCUCCGCCGGACAAAUUAACGAUUCCACGAGGAUUCUUCAAAAGUUUAAAAACGCAUGUAAAGAGGGGCCAACUUACACAAGUGCGACUUGCGGUUGCAUGCAUUUUCGUCACUACGUAAGACAUCAUGCUGAUGUGGUACAAGAACUGUCCAACAUCACAAUUCCUGAAAAGUCCUACAGAUCGUAUAUCUCUCAAAAAACAGCCCCGGAAAAUAUGUACUCGAAAUUGAACGUUCUAUGAUUCGUCUUCUUCAUUCCGUGAAAAUAGUGCGUUCAAUCAACCUAACCGAAAAAAGAGAAAACAUGAGCUUAAUUUUCGAAGAAUCCCCUCUGUAUAAGUUAGUCUCUGUGUAAGUAGUCGGUGAGUAUCUACGUAGUUUAUUAUUAUUCAUUCAAUAUGUCCAAUUCAAAAAUGAAAAUUUUAAAAUGGCUCAAUUUUUCAAAGUUAUUUUGAAAUAUAAUAUGUAUCUAUAGCACUGCGGUAUCUUCCACUUUUUAAAGUUGUCCCUUUGUGUUCCUUUGCCGUUUUUAAGACAACAUUUCUAUUCGAGUUUUGAUUUAUUUGAAAAUAUUAUUUGCUUGUCGCUAUUUUUCCUAAGCCUGGACUGACUUUAUAAUCUGAAUCAAUAUUCAGUAUCAAUGAGCUUCACACUGUUAUAUAUCUGGGAGUGAAAUUCGGUGCAUAUUUCAUCCUAGAGGCUCUCUAGCGAACAAAUAACCCGCGUGGUGCGAAUGCGAGGUUAAAUUAGCUUAAUUCAUAAGAGUAUACGACACUUUGCAAAAAAUGGUAAAAUCCACUCCAUUAAUCCUAUCCCUCGGGAUCUCUGGAUGUAGUGUCGACUCCAGAGUGAAAAACAGUACGCAGUAUUUAGCGGCUCGUGAGAAAUUUUCCUGAGAGAAGUUACUCAAAGGUCAUCAAAUUUGAUGGAAUAGGAGUUUUGUCCAAAUAGUAAAGGGUCCUUUGCCAGCAUUCAAAUGAUAACCCUAAACCACAUACUGAAUGUAAUGAAUUCCUUUCCUUUGUAUAUUUUUUCAGAGCAAGAUGCUCCUGGCACAUUUCCUGUUUUGCCUGCUAAGAAGCAAGAAUUUGUAUCCUUGAUUUUCUCCCAUUUAUUCCGAUCUGAAUGACAAGACGGGUGGGGGGAGGGGGGGGUGCGCCGCUCCGCUCAAAACUUCUGAUAUGAAAGGGCGCAGCCUUAGAUCGGCAGGGGCGCGCGAAGAUAUCUAGUUACACCACUGUAAGGCAAGUGGACCAGUGUAUGCCACUUCACCAGUGAAUGCCACCUCCAUGAUUACUUGUAAAUAUUAAGCCAUAGGUUCAGGAUCAGGUGAAGGAAAAAUUAACUUUAAAAUCACCAACAGAUGGCAGCUCAGAACAACAACAGCUGAGAGCAUCAACAAAGAAGAAGAAAAGCAGGAGGUGUUUACUUAAGUUUUCGGUAAGAAACCGCAAGUUCUUUAUCACUUAUUUAAGUGAUUUCUAUUGUUCCAUAGGUUAUGAAAACUUUUAAAGACAUAACUGAUGUAAUUAUGUAACUAAUUUCAUCGUAUUUAUAGUUAAAAAUUGAUUUUAAGAUUGUCCAGGGGUGGCAGUAACCAGUUCACUCAUUUUCUGGGAUCGCCAGUGAGUGCCAUAGGUGGCAUCUACCAGUGCAGGUUUUUUGGGAUGACUUAGUGAAUGCCACUCUGCUUUAUAACUUUUUCUUAGAUCAUCAAUGAAAAUGUUCCAUAUUCUUUUAUAUAUUUGACUUCAAAAAUGCCAAAUAGUGUACUAUAUAGGAUUACUAAAUCAUCAGUGUUGAUGUAACUCUAAGGAACACAAAUUUUAAACUCUAUUCCUUGUGUAGAGAAUUGAACUCGUUGUUUACUUUGAGAAAGUUCGUUAAAUUUUC